rnacentral:rRNA from 1 species
CGUUCUGUAAGCCUGUGAAGGUGUGCUGUGAGGCAUGCUGGAGGUAUCAGAAGUGCGAAUGCUGACAUAAGUAACGAUAAAGCGGGUGAAAAGCCCGCUCGCCGGAAGACCAAGGGUUCCUGUCCAACGUUAAUCGGGGCAGGGUGAGUCGACCCCUAAGGCGAGGCCGAAAGGCGUAGUCGAUGGGAAACAGGUUAAUAUUCCUGUACUUGGUGUUACUGCGAAGGGGGGACGGAGAAGGCUAUGUUGGCCGGGCGACGGUUGUCCCGGUUUAAGCGUGUAGGCUGGUUUUCCAGGCAAAUCCGGAAAAUCAAGGCUGAGGCGUGAUGACGAGGCACUACGGUGCUGAAGCAACAAAUGCCCUGCUUCCAGGAAAAGCCUCUAAGCAUCAGGUAACAUCAAAUCGUACCCCAAACCGACACAGGUGGUCAGGUAGAGAAUACCAAGGCGCUUGAGAGAACUCGGGUGAAGGAACUAGGCAAAAUGGUGCCGUAACUUCGGGAGAAGGCACGCUGAUAUGUAGGUGAAGUCCCUCGCGGAUGGAGCUGAAAUCAGUCGAAGAUACCAGCUGGCUGCAACUGUUUAUUAAAAACACAGCACUGUGCAAACACGAAAGUGGACGUAUACGGUGUGACGCCUGCCCGGUGCCGGAAGGUUAAUUGAUGGGGUCAGCGCAAGCGAAGCUCUUGAUCGAAGCCCCGGUAAACGGCGGCCGUAACUAUAACGGUCCUAAGGUAGCGAAAUUCCUUGUCGGGUAAGUUCCGACCUGCACGAAUGGCGUAAUGAUGGCCAGGCUGUCUCCACCCGAGACUCAGUGAAAUUGAACUCGCUGUGAAGAUGCAGUGUACCCGCGGCAAGACGGAAAGACCCCGUGAACCUUUACUAUAGCUUGACACUGAACAUUGAGCCUUGAUGUGUAGGAUAGGUGGGAGGCUUAGAAGUGUGGACGCCAGUCUGCAUGGAGCCGACCUUGAAAUACCACCCUUUAAUGUUUGAUGUUCUAACG